rnacentral:rRNA from 1 species
GAUGAACGCUGGCGGCGUGCCUAAUACAUGCAAGUCGAGCGAACGGACGAGAAGCUUGCUUCUCUGAUGUUAGCGGCGGACGGGUGAGUAACACGUGGAUAACCUACCUAUAAGACUGGGAUAACUUCGGGAAACCGGAGCUAAUACCGGAUAAUAUUUUGAACCGCAUGGUUCAAAAGUGAAAGACGGUCUUGCUGUCACUUAUAGAUGGAUCCGCGCUGCAUUAGCUAGUUGGUAAGGUAACGGCUUACCAAGGCAACGAUGCAUAGCCGACCUGAGAGGGUGAGCGGCCACACUGGAACUGAGGCGCGGUCCAGACUCCUACGUGAGGAAGCAGUAGGGAAUCUUCCGCAAUGGGCGAAAGCCUGACGGAGCAACGCCGCGUGAGUGAUGAAGGUCUUCGGAUCGUAAAACUCUGUUAUUAGGGAAGAACAUAUGUGUAAGUAACUGUGCACAUCUUGACGGUACCUAAUCAGAAAGCCACGGCUAACUACGUG